CAGCAGUCGCCGCGGUAAUACAGAGGGUGCGAGCGUUAAUCGGAUUUACUGGGCGUAAAGCGUGCGUAGGCGGCUUUUUAAGUCGGAUGUGAAAUCCCUGAGCUUAACUUAGGAAUUGCAUUCGAUACUGGGAAGCUAGAGUAUGGGAGAGGAUGGUAGAAUUCCAGGUGUAGCGGUGAAAUGCGUAGAGAUCUGGAGGAAUACCGAUGGCGAAGGCAGCCAUCUGGCCUAAUACUGACGCUGAGGUACGAAAGCAUGGGGAGCAAACAGGAUUAGAUACCCGUGUAGUCCCUGUCUCUUAUAA
rnacentral:rRNA from 1 species